AACGAACGCUGGCGGCAUGCCUAACACAUGCAAGUCGAACGAGACCGUCGGGUCUAGUGGCGGACGGGUGCGUAACGCGGGGUAACCUGCCCGUAGGUUCGGAAUAACUCCCCGAAAGGGGAGCUAAGACAGGAGAAUGUCAUCGGACAAAAGAUUUAUCGCCGUUGGAUGGGGCCGUGUUGGAUUAGCUGGUUGGUAGUGUAAAAGCCUACCAAGGCGACGAUGCAUAGCUGGUGUGAGAGGAUGAUCCGCCACACUGGGACUGAGACACGGCCCAGACUCCUACGGGAGGCAGCAGUGGGGAAUAUUGGACGAUGGGCGAUAGCCUGAUCCAGCCAUGCCGCGUGAGUGAUCAAGGGCUUAGGGUUGUACAGCUCUUUUACCCGGGAUGUUAAUGACAGUACCGGGAGAAUAAGCUCCGGCUAACUCCGUG
rnacentral:rRNA from 1 species